rnacentral:rRNA from 1 species
AGUGAACGCUGGCGGUAGGCCUAACACAUGCAAGUCGAACGGCAGCACAGUAAGAGCUUGCUCUUACGGGUGGCGAGUGGCGGACGGGUGAGGAAUACAUCGGAAUCUACUUUUUCGUGGGGGAUAACGUAGGGAAACUUACGCUAAUACCGCAUACGACCUACGGGUGAAAGCAGGGGAUCUUCGGACCUUGCCCGAUUGAAUGAGCCGAUGUCGGAUUAGCUAGUUGGCGGGGUAAAGGCCCACCAAGGCGACGAUCCGUAGCUGGUCUGAGAGGAUGAUCAGCCACACUGGAACUGAGACACGGUCCAGACUCCUACGGGAGGCAGCAGUGGGGAAUAUUGGACAAUGGGCGCAAGCCUGAUCCAGCCAUACCGCGUGGGUGAAGAAGGCCUUCGGGUUGUAAAACCCUUUUGUUGGGAAAGAAAAGCAGCAGGUUAAUACCCCGCUGUUCUGACGGUACCCAAAGAAUAAGCACCGGCUAACUUCGUG